AACCAAAAACAAAAACUACGUGAAAUAAAAACAAAAAAACUGCAAAUAAAAACACACCUUAGCUUGGGUUGCCUCCCAAGAAGCGCCUGAUUUAGUGUCGUGGCACGACUUAAUCAUUCUUUUUUCUCCAUCUUGAGGAUAUAAAUUUCACCCCCAACUUAGCAUCCAUCUUCUUGCCUCACUCAUAACGGGGUGGUACAAAAAUUAAGGAACAGAGUAAUGGAUUGAGCAUGGUAAACCACUCGGCUUUAAAGGG
rnacentral:lncRNA from 1 species